rnacentral:rRNA from 1 species
UACGAAGGGGGCUAGCGUUGCUCGGAUUUACUGGGCGUAAAGGGCGCGUAGGCGGACAGUUUAGUCAGAGGUGAAAGCCCAGGGCUCAACCUUGGAAUUGCCUUUGAUACUGGUAGUCUCGAGUCCGGAAGAGGUGAGUGGAAUUCCGAGUGUAGAGGUGAAAUUCGUAGAUAUUCGGAGGAACACCAGUGGCGAAGGCGGCUCACUGGUCCGGUACUGACGCUGAGGUGCGAAAGCGUGGGGAGCAAACAGG